rnacentral:tRNA from 1 species
GAGGAUAUAGCUCAGUGGUAGAGUGUGUGCCUAUGCACGAGGUCCUGGGUUCAAUCCCCAGAACCUCU